GACGAACGCUGGCGGCGUGCUUAACACAUGCAAGUCGAACGGAAAGGCCCUGCUUUUGUGGGGUGCUCGAGUGGCGAACGGGUGAGUAACACGUGAGUAACCUGCCCUUGACUUUGGGAUAACUUCAGGAAACUGGGGCUAAUACCGGAUAGGAGCUCCUGCUGCAUGGUGGGGGUUGGAAAGUUUCGGCGGUUGGGGAUGGACUCGCGGCUUAUCAGCUUGUUGGUGGGGUAGUGGCUUACCAAGGCUUUGACGGGUAGCCGGCCUGAGAGGGUGACCGGCCACAUGGGGACUGAGGUACGGCCCAGACUCCUACGGGAGGCAGCAGUGGGGAAUAUUGCACAAUGGGCGGAAGCCUGAUGCAGCAACGCCGCGUGCGGGAUGACGGCCUUCGGGGUGUAAACCGCUUUCGCCUGUGACGAAGCGUGAGUGACGGUAAUGGGUAAAGAAGCACCGGCUAACUACGUG
rnacentral:rRNA from 1 species